GCCUACGGGGGGCAGCAGUGGGGAAUAUUGCACAAUGGGGGAAACCCUGAUGCAGCGACGCCGCGUGAGUGAAGAAGUAUUUCGGUAUGUAAAGCUCUAUCAGCAGGGAAGAAAAUGACGGUACCUGACUAAGAAGCCCCGGCUAACUACGUGCCAGCAGCCGCGGUAAUACGUAGGGGGCAAGCGUUAUCCGGAUUUACUGGGUGUAGAGGGAGCGUAGACGGCAUAGCAAGUCUGAUGUGAAAGAUCGGGGCUCAACCCCGGGCCUGCAUUGGAAACUGUUAAGCUGGAGUACAGGAGAGGUA
rnacentral:rRNA from 1 species